UAGGGAAUUUUCCACAAUGGACGCAAGUCUGAUGGAGCAACGCCGCGUGAGUGAAGAAGGGUUUCGGCUCGUAAAGCUCUGUUGUUAAAGAAGAACGUGGGUAAGAGUAACUGUUUACCCAGUGACGGUAUUUAACCAGAAAGCCACGGCUAACUACGUGCUAG
rnacentral:rRNA from 1 species